rnacentral:misc_RNA from 1 species
AUUUGAGUAUAUGGGAUCAAUUUCCCAGCUUCUAAAUGACAACACAUACAAUCCCAGUUUUGAUUUCCAGAACAUCAUGAGCAAUGCUGAGACUGAUCAUGUUGAAAAUUUUCAGCUAGGAGAAAUGGGUAACCAGUAUACAGAUUCAGGGAAGCUCCAGGUGAAUCAGGGCAGCAUCCUAAACCAACCAUUGUUUGUGGAUCCAAUGGUCUAUGAAUUUCAGUGAUUUGCCUGGAAUCUGACUAGCUUGACAAGGGACAAAAAAUACAUCUCUAGUAAGAUGUAAAAAUUGUUUAUGCAGAGUACACAUCUUACACAAUAGUCAAUUGUGAAUUUCAUGUGAUACCAUCUAUUAAUGAAUCAGUAGUCAAGCUUGAAUGAUGGAGAUGAUUAUCACAUUCACUGUUGAAGCUGUGUCCUGUUGCUUUCAAUUAGAUGGAGAUUCUUUGUACUAAUUCUCUUAAUCCAAGUCAUGGAAACAAGGUGGAAUC